rnacentral:tRNA from 1 species
AAGGUUUUAAGUUAAAAAAACUAAUAGCCUUCAAAGCUGAAAAUGAAAUAUAUUUUUCAAACCUUA